rnacentral:rRNA from 1 species
UACGUAGGGUGCAAGCGUUGUCCGGAAUUAUUGGGCGUAAAGAGCUCGUAGGCGGUUUGUCGCGUCUGCUGUGAAAAUCCAGGGCUUAACCCUGGACCUGCAGUGGGUACGGGCAGACUGGAGUGCGGUAGGGGAGAUCGGAAUUCCUGGUGUAGCGGUGAAAUGCGCAGAUAUCAGGAGGAACACCGGUGGCGAAGGCGGAUCUCUGGGCCGUAACUGACGCUGAGGCGCGAAAGCUAGGGGAGCGAACAGG